ACGAUGGUGAUUUAAGCAGCAA
rnacentral:siRNA from 1 species